rnacentral:tRNA from 1 species
UGCGGGGUAGUGUAGGGUGCACGGGAGGCUCAUAAUCUCCCAGACUAGGUCCGACUCCUAGCCCCGCAA